ensembl:snoRNA
UCCGAGACUAGAGUCACAUCUUUACACUUGUGAUUGUUCUGGUGUGCUAUCAUUCUCGGACAUUAAACUUCUGAUCCACAUUCACUGGCUGUGAUGCUUCGUAUCUCAGUCAGCCACCAAAUCAGUGACACUA